rfam:Desulfobulbus sp. Tol-SR contig_19, whole genome shotgun sequence.
GGGCGCAUAGCUCAGCUGGCUAGAGCCACCGGCUCAUAACCGGUCGGUCGUAGGUUCGAAUCCUACUGCGCCCA